GGUGCACAAGAGGAGAGCAAAGUGCUCGUCGUAGACGACAAAAAUAGCGAAAGUAGUAGCGAUACACCAGCAAUAACAACGACGUAGACAACAUCCUACAACUGUAAAACGAUUCCGCGUCGCUUCGUACACGUCGUCGUUGGCGUGUAUCCGCAUUUUGUGUGGAAUAUGGCCCAUGUUUUGCAGCUGACCUUGGGUCUGUUGAAUGCACUCGAUCGAACCCGUGUCGAAGUCCGUAAUGGAGAAGUUAAACUUCUGCACAUUGUUGCCACCGGAUGGAAAGGACAGACAACCCUGCCCAUUUUGAAGAAACUGUAUCGACGGGUUACCCGACGAGCUGCCAAGCUUUGCCUGUUGAUGAGUGGAUAGAAUGAGAAGGAUGAGUAAAUAAAACGAAGUAGCAAAUAAAAUAUCACAAAUUGUAGCCGAGCAUAAACGGAUAAGUAAAUCUGCACAAACGCAAUUAAAAGAUUUUUUCCUGCACAAUGAGCAAAUGACUGAUGAUCGUACUGUUACUCAAUCGAGUAUCAAUUAUGCAACGCAACAGGCGCACACGAAAUCAAAACCCGUACUCA